AAGACUAUACUUUUAAGGAUCAUUUCUAUAGUCAGUGACUGAGAAUUGUGGCACUUAAAAGGUUCGGUCUAGUAACCAUGAUGAGGAGCUGCAGCGUUUUCUCCUGAGCGCGAAGCAGUCCCCGAGCUUUGCUUUAUGCAAUGGCUGGAGGACAUUGAUGACCGUUCCCCUCUCCUAUUGCAGGAGGGGCGGAGGGAGAACACGCAGUCUGAAUGGU